rnacentral:rRNA from 1 species
AGGCAGCAGUGGGGAAUUUUGCGCAAUGGGGGAAACCCUGAUCUAGCGACGCCGCGUGCAGGAAGAAGGUCUUCGGAUUGUAAACUGCUGUGGUAAGGGAAAAAUGCCAUGUAGAGUGGAAAGCUGCAUGGAGGGAUGGUACUUUACUAGAAAGCCCCGGCUAACUACGUGCCAGCAGCCGCGGUAAUACGUAGGGGGCGAGCGUUACCCGGAAUCACUGGGCGUAAAGGGAGCGUAGGUGGCCUGACAUGUCAACUGUGAAAACCCGGAGCUCAACUCCGGACUUGCAGUUGAAACUGCCAGGCUUGAGGACGGUAGAGGAAGACGGAACUGCCAGUGUAGGGGUAAAAUCCUUAGAUAUUGGCAGGAACGCCGGUGACGAAGGUGGUUUUCUGGGCCGGUUCUGACACUGAUGCUCGAAAGCCAGGGUAGCAAACAGGAUUAGAUACCC